rnacentral:lncRNA from 1 species
AACGAGACAAAGCGUCUUUCCCAUGCUCGAUUUCGAACGAGUAACCUUGUAAUUUUAUUGCCCAUCUGGCUAAUCUACGCUGAGAUCUGACUGGUUCAUAAGGCAACGAAGCCUUGCAUGAUCCGUAAAAACUUUGAAGGGAUGACCAUCGAUGUACACGCGGAAUUUUGUUAUGGCCAGUACUACCGCCAAGCAUUCCAGUUCCGUUACCGUGUAGUUUCGCUGAGCCUUGUUCAGCUUCUUGGACAUGUAAGCUAUCGGACGCUUGCAACCUGAGUCGUCACAUUGGGCUAAAACUGCACCUACCCCAUGAAAAGAGGCAUCACAUUGAACCACAAAAGGCUUGUCGUAAUUGGGAUGAAUUAAAAAUGGAGCUGAGCAUAAUUUACAUUUGAUAUCAUCAAACGCUGAUUGUGACUUUUCAUUCCAUACAUACGACUUUCCACGGAGUAGCUCAGUGAGAGAAAAGAUAACAGAAGAGUAAUUGGGAAUAAAACGUUGAUACCACCCAGUCAUUCUUAGAAAUUUCCUUACAUGCUUUUGAGUCUUCGGUAUCGGGAAUACAUCCACCGCUCGUACUUUCUCUGAAUUAACUUGAAGCGUCCCCUCACCCACAAGAUACCCAAGGUAGUCCACCCUUUUCAAAGAGACCUGAAUCUUCUGCACGUUUAUGGUCAGUCCGGCCUUGUGUAAUUGGAGAGCAACUUCCGAUAAAUGUAGCAAGUGGUCCUCAAAAUUGUUUGAAAGCACCAAUAAAUCAUCAAGGUAUACCAACACAUGAGAUUUGAGUUGGUACGGAAUUAUAAUGUCCAAUGUCAACCGACUCAUCGUGUGCGGCGCGUUUGUCAAUCAAAACGGCAUUCUUUUAAACCGAUAAAGCGGCCUAUUCGGUACUGCGAAAGCUGAUUUUGCACGAGAUUCUUGGUCUAAUUUAAUCUGCCAGAAGGCAUCUUUAAGGUCGCUCUUUAAAAUACAGUGAAACCUUAAAAACUUAACAAGCCAUCCAUGAUCGGAAUGGAUCUCUGACUGUAACUGCGUUGAGUUUGCGGGCAUCUGCAGUGUGACAGGAGUUGACCGCGCGGAGCUCGG